AUUUAAAUAGUUUAAUAAAAAUAUUGAUUUGUGGUGUCAAAGAUAAGAAAUUUCUUUUUAAAUU
rnacentral:tRNA from 1 species